AUGUUUUGGAGAAAGCAGGCUUCUCAUUUUGAUUUAGAUGAUGUUGAGCAAAGACAAGCAAAGAUCAAGGAACUGAGAGCUGCACUUGGGCCUUUGUCCACCCGUGGAGAGAAAUAUUGCAGUGAAGCAUGCUUGGUAAGAUAUCUCGAGGCCCGCAACUGGAAUGUUGACAAUUCUAGAAAAAUGCUGGAAGAAAGUCUCAAGUGGAGGGCAGCCAGGAGGCCUGAGGAUAUUCGCUGGCUGGAUGUUUCUGUUGAAGCAGAAACAGGUAAAAUGUACAGGGCACCUUUUACAGACAGAGAGGGGAGAACCGUGAUUGUAAUGAGACCUGCAAAGCAGAAUACAUCAUCUCACGAAGGGCAGUUGCAGUAUCUUACAUAUACCUUGGAGAAUGCAGUCCUCAACCUGCCUCAAGGUCAAGACAAAAUGGUGUUGUUGAUAGACUUCACAGGAUGGACACUGGCCCAUAGAAGUCCCUUCAAGACUUCCAGAGAGAGUAUGACUACCGUGCAAAGCCAUUACCCGGAGAGACUUUCAGCUGCAUUUAUGUUCAAUCCGCCCAAAAUAUUUGAGGCCUCUUUUAAGGUUCUCAAAGUAUUGAUUGACCCGAAAUCAGCCCAGAAACUCAACUUUGUGUACAAGGAGAACGAGGAGAGCAUGAAGACAAUGUACAACCACAUUGAUCCAGAAGUCCUUCCUGUAGAGUUUGGAGGGAAGAACAAUGUUGUCUACAACCAUGAGGAUUACUCUAAGUUGAUGACAAAGGAUGACAUCAAAACAGCAAGCUUUUGGGGGGCAGACAGUAACCAUGCCACGAACGGGCACUCGGUUCCUGCGGUUAAAUCGCAGUCAUCACUAACUGUUGCUAAAGCAAGUUGA
rnacentral:rRNA from 1 species